GGAUCAUUACAGAGAAUAUCAUCUCUCUACAACCCAUGUGAACUUACCACUGUUGCCUCGGCGGAACCUGCCGGGCGCGGCCCGAACCGAAUGGGACGGGCCUCCCGGCACCCCGCCAGUGGGCCACUACAACAAACUAUUUUUGACAAAGGAGAGACAUCUGAGUGAGAACAUGAAAUAUAGUCAAAACUUUCAACAAUGGAUCUCUUGGUUCUGGCAUCGAUGAAGAACGCAGCGAAAUGCGAUAAGUAAUGUGAAUUGCAGAAUUCAGUGAAUCAUCGAAUCUUUGAACGCACAUUGCGCCCAUUAGUAUUCUAGUGGGCAUGCCUGUUCGAGCGUCAUUUCAACCCUCAAGCCCAGCUUGGUGUUGGGAGACUACGGCCUUUCUCGUAGCUCCUGAAAAUCAAUGGCGGAGCGGUGGUAAACCUCUGAGCGUAGUAACUAUCUCUCGCUUUCUGUGGAUGCCCCGUCCCCUGCCGUUAAACCCCCAAAUUUUCUAAUGGUUGACCUCGGAUCAGGUAGGAAUACCCGCUGAACUUAAGCAUAUCAAUAAGCGGAGGAAAAGAAACCAACAGGGAUUGCCCUAGUAACGGCGAGUGAAGCGGCAACAGCUCAAAUUUGAAAUCUGGCCCUCGGGUCCGAGUUGUAAUUUGCAGAGGAUGCUUUUGGUGUGGCACCUUCCGAGUUCCUUGGAACAGGACGCCUUAGAGGGUGAGAGCCCCGUACGGUUGGAUGCCUAGCCUUUGUAUAGCUCCUUCGACGAGUCGAGUAGUUUGGGAAUGCUGCUCUAAAUGGGAGGUAAAUUUCUUCUAAAGCUAAAUACCGGCCAGAGACCGAUAGCGCACAAGUAGAGUGAUCGAAAGAUGAAAAGCACUUUGAAAAGAGGGUUAAAUAGCACGUGAAAUUGUUGAAAGGGAAGGACUUAUGACCAGACGUUUUCCUAGGGGAUCAUCAGGUGUUCUCACCUGUGCACUUCCCUAGGUUGAGGUCAGCAUCGGUUUUCGUGGGGGGAUAAAGACGGUGGGAACGUGGCUCCCCCGGGAGUGUUAUAGCCCGCCGUGUAAUACCCUCGCGGAGACCGAGGCCCGCGCU
rnacentral:rRNA from 1 species